rnacentral:rRNA from 1 species
GAUGAACGCUGGCGGCGUGCUUAACACAUGCAGGUCGAACGGUGAAGCAGGAGCUUGCUCCUGUGGAUCAGUGGCGAACGGGUGAGUAACACGUGAGCAAUCUGCCCUGGACUCUGGGAUAAGCGUUGGAAACGACGUCUAAUACCGGAUACGAGGCGUGGGGGCAUCCCCAACGCCUGGAAAGAACUUCGGUCCAGGAUGAGCUCGCGGGCUAUAAGGUAGUUGGGGAGGUAACGGCUCACCAAGCCUACGACGGGUAGCCGGCCUGAGAGGGUGACCGGCCACACUGGGACUGAGACACGGCCCAGACUCCUACGGGAGGCAGCAGUGGGGAAUAUUGCACAAUGGGCGCAAGCCUGAUGCAGCAACGCCGCGUGAGGGACGACGGCCUUCGGGUUGUAAACCUCUUUUAGCAGGGAAGAAGCGAAAGUGACGGUACCUGCAGAAAAAGCACCGGCUAACUACGUGCCAGCAGCCGCAGUAACAC